CCUACGGGGCGCUGCAGUGAGGAAUAUUGGUCAAUGGUCGGGAGACUGAACCAGCCAAGCCGCGUGAGGGAGGAAGGUACAGAGUAUCGUAAACCUCUUUUGUCAGGGAACAAAGGUGGGGACGUGUCCCCGGAUGAGUGUACCUGAAGAAAAAGCAUCGGCUAACUCCGUGCCAGCAGCCGCGGUAAUACGGAGGAUGCGAGCGUUAUCCGGAUUUAUUGGGUUUAAAGGGUGCGCAGGCGGUCUGUUAAGUCAGCGGUCAAAGCCCGGGGCUCAACCCCGGCCCGCCGUUGAAACUGGCAGUCGCGAGUUGGAGAGAAGUAUGCGGAAUGCGCGGUGUAGCGGUGAAAUGCAUAGAUAUCGCGCAGAACUCCGAUUGCGAAGGCAGCAUGCCGGCUCCACACUGACGCUGAGGCACGAAAGCGUGGGUAUCGAACAGGAUUAGAUACCCGUGUAGUC
rnacentral:rRNA from 1 species